rnacentral:rRNA from 1 species
UUGUAGGCUAUUAAAGUCACAACGGCAAAAGAUGAGCAUGCGUCCCAUUAGUUAGUUGGUAAGGUAACGGCUUACCAAGACUACGAUGGGUAGGGGUCCUGAGAGGGAGAUCCCCCACACUGGUACUGAGACACGGACCAGACUCCUACGGGAGGCAGCAGUGAGGAAUAUUGGACAAUGGGCGCAAGCCUGAUCCAGCCAUGCCGCGUGCAGGAUGACGGUCCUAUGGAUUGUAAACUGCUUUUGUACAGGAAGAAACACUCCCUCGUGAGGGAGCUUGACGGUACUGUAAGAAUAAGGAUCGGCUAACUCCGUG